rnacentral:rRNA from 1 species
GUACACUCCUGCGGGAGGCAGCAGUGGGGAAUUUUGGACAAUGGGCGAAAGCCUGAUCCAGCAAUGCCGCGUGUGUGAAGAAGGCCUUCGGGUUGUAAAGCACUUUUGUCCGGAAAGAAAUCCUUGGCUCUAAUACAGUCGGGGGAUGACGGUACCGGAAGAAUAAGCACCGGCUAACUACGUGCCAGCAGCCGCGGUCAUACGUAGGGUGCGAGCGUUAAUCGGAAUUACUGGGCGUAAAGCGUGCGCAGGCGGUUUGCUAAGACCGAUGUGAAAUCCCCGGGCUCAACCUGGGAACUGCAUUGGUGACUGGCAGGCUAGAGUAUGGCAGAGGGGGGUAGAAUUCCACGUGUAGCAGUGAAAUGCGUAGAGAUGUGGAGGAAUACCGAUGGCGAAGGCAGCCCCCUGGGCCAAUACUGACGCUCAUGCACGAAAGCGUGGGGAGCAAACAGGAUUAGAAACCCGGGUAGUCCCAUGA